UCCAGCGGCAAGACAGAGACGUAGCGCAGGGGAGAGGAAUACAUGGCCUCAGUCCUGCUACUUGUUUCUUGCAGGAGGACCACUGUGACCAAACAAAACCCCGCUGGUAUCAGUGGGGCUUGGCUUAUCUGCAGUGGGCUACCCACACAUAUGCCGACAGGAGAGAAAAGAGCUGAGGGGCAGCCAGCAGGGAACAGAGGCGAUCAUGUACGUUACAUGAGUUGGCUGUGCUAAAGGUGGCCGCGAUGUGGGUUGGUCCCUAUUAAGCAUAAACAUGAAAGUCACCACCCCGGCUGAUGACUUCUCUGUGCAAGAGCCCAUGUCACCAGUUCUCCAUAUGAAGCCCUCAUGUUUUAACUGGGACAAAAUACACCAAGGAUUUUCACAAGAUUAACAAUAGCUUUUGGGACUAAUGAAGACUGGCUCCAGCCAUGAGGUCACAGCUCAGCUGUGUGAUUCUGAUUCUUGUAAGUUGAAUGGACUCAGUAGGAAAAACCUGUACUCAGCACUUCUCUUUGUCUUUCUCAAAGCUUUAUCGCAAUGUGUAUUUUUGCCCUACAGUAUAUUGAAGCCUGAUGAACAUGGUGUAAGAUGCUCACUUUAUUAAACUAUGCUUUCAUGCCAUUUAAUAUAUUCUUAUCUAUUUUCUGGGUACACAACCUAAGGAGAAAAUAUGUCAUCGGCCAUGCUAAAGCCAUUGAAAUAUCUGGGAAAGAAAUCGUCCUCGAGUCUCAACAAAUCAUCUUUUUGCAGCAUUGCAUGUUAAGAAUUCAUUUAAGAAAUGAUCCUCAAGAGGCCACAUGUGAAUACUGUGCCAUCGUAAUCUAUCUUUUCCUGACUAUUAGCUUGAUAAUGGGGAUUCCUUCGCACAGUCAUUAUGCAUUGUUGUCAGUCUUCAGCCAGUUUUAUGACCUGUGUCCAAGAUGUACCCUCAUUCUCAUUAAAUGCUUAAAAUGA